CCUACGGGAGGCAGCAGUGGGGAAUUUUGGACAAUGGGCGCAAGCCUGAUCCAGCUAUUCCGCGUGUGGGAUGACGGCCCUCGGGUUGUACACCCCUUUAGUAGAGAACGAAAAGGAGCUAUCGAAUAAAUAGCUCUGCUGACGGUACUCUAAGAAUAAGCACCGGCUAACUACGUGCCAGCAGCCGCGGUAAUACGUAGGGUGCGUGCGUUAAUCGGAAUUACUGGGCGUAAAGGGUGUGCAGGCGGCUGAGUAACACAGAUGUGAAAACCCCGGGCUUAACCUGGGAACCGCAUCUGUGACUGCUUGGCUAGAGUGCGUCAGAGGGAGGCGGAAUGCGACGUGUAGCAGUGAAAUGCGUAGAUAUGGGGAAGAACACCGAUGGCGAAGGCAGCCUCCGGGGACGCCACUGACGCUCAUACACGAAAGCGUGGGGAGCAAACAGGAUUAGAGACCCGUGUAGUC
rnacentral:rRNA from 1 species